rnacentral:misc_RNA from 1 species
ACCUGCGGAGGGAUCAUUACAGAGUUGCAAAACUCCCAAACCAUUGUGAACGUUACCUUUACCGUUGCUUCGGCGGGCGGCCCGGGUCCUGCCCGGCGCCCCUCGGCCCUCGCGGGCGCCCGCCGGAGGUAAACCAAACUAUUGCAUUGUAUGGCCUCUCUGAGUCUUCUGUACUGAAUAAGUCAAAACUUUCAACAACGGAUCUCUUGGUUCUGGCAUCGAUGAAGAACGCAGCGAAAUGCGAUAAGUAAUGUGAAUUGCAGAAUUCAGUGAAUCAUCGAAUCUUUGAACGCACAUUGCGCCCGCCAGUAUUCUGGCGGGCAUGCCUGUUCGAGCGUCAUUUCAACCAUCAAGCCCCCGGCUUGUGUUGGGGACCUGCGGCUGCCGCAGGCCCUGAAAACCAGUGGCGGGCUCGCUAGUCACUCCGAGCGUAGUAGUUUACAUCUCGCUCAGGGCGUGCUGCGGGUUCCGGCCGUUAAAAGCCUUAUUCACCCAAGGUUGA